GUAGGGUGCAAGCGUUGUCCGGAAUUACUGGGUGUAAAGGGAGCGCAGGCGGGAAGACAAGUUGGAAGUGAAAACCAUGGGCUCAACCCAUGAAUUGCUUUCAAAACUGUUUUUCUUGAGUAGUGCAGAGGUAGAUGGAAUUCCCGGUGUAGCGGUGGAAUGCGUAGAUAUCGGGAGGGACACCAGUGGCGAAGGCGGUCUACUGGGCACCAACUGACGCUGAGGCUCGAAAGCAUGGGUAGCAAACAGGAUUAGAUACCCUGGUAGUCCAUGCCGUAAACGAUGAUUACUAGGUGUUGGGGGAUUGACCCCCUCAGUGCCGCAGUUAACACAGUAAGUAAUCCACCUGGGGAGUACGACCGCAAGGUUG
rnacentral:rRNA from 1 species